rnacentral:rRNA from 1 species
GGAAAAGAAACUAACAAGGAUUCCCCUAGUAACGGCGAGUGAAGCGGGAAGAGCUCAAAUUUGUAAUCUGGCACUUUCAGUGUCCGAGUUGUAAUCUCGAGAAGUGUUUUCCGCGCCGGACCGCAUACAAGUCUGUUGGAAUACAGCGUCAUAGUGGUGAGAACCCCGUAACUGAUGCGGAUGCCCGGUGCUUUGUGAUACACUUUCGAAGAGUCGAGUUGUUUGGGAAUGCAGCUCAAAUUGGGUGGUAAAUUCCAUCUAAAGCUAAAUAUUGGCGAGAGACCGAUAGCGAACAAGUACCGUGAGGGAAAGAUGAAAAGCACUUUGGAAAGAGAGUUAACAGUACGUGAAAUUGUUGGAAGGGAAACGCUUGAAGUCAGACUUGCUAUUCGGAGUUCAGCCGCAAGGUGUAUUCUUCGAUUUGCAGGCCAGCAUCAGUUUUUGGGGGUGGAAAAUCGUGGUUUGAAGGUAGCAGUUUCGGCUGUGUUAUAGCUUUCCACUGGAUUCAUCUUCGGGGACUGAGGAACGCAGUGCGCUUUUAGCAAGGCCUUCGGGCUUUUCGCACUUAGGAUGCUGGUGGAAUGGCUUUAAACGACCCGUCUG